AUGCUCCGGCUCCGUCGCAGCCUCCUCUCCCAGAUCCUCUCUUCUCCCUUUGCCUCUCCCAUCUCCCACCUCAGCCGCCUCAUCUCCGCCGCCGCGCCCGCCGUCUCCCGGAACCCUAGAUUCGCCGUGGAGGAGUACCUCGUCUCCACCUGCGGCCUCACCCGACCCCAGGCCCUCAAGGCCUCCCCCAAGCUCUCCCACCUCAAAUCCCCCACCAAGCCCGACGCCGUCCUUGCCUUCCUCGCCGGCCUCGGCCUCUCCCCCGCCGACGUCGCCGCCGUCGUCGCCAAGGACCCCAAGUUCCUCUGUGCCAGCGUGGAGAAAACCCUGGCCUCCGUCGUCGCUGGGCUCACCGGCCUCGGCCUCUCGCGUUCUCAGAUCGCGCGCCUCGUCUCACUCAUCGGUGUCACUUUCCGCUGUAGAUCCAUCAUCGCCGGGCUGCAGUACUGCUUGCCCCUCUUCGGCUCCUCCGAGAACCUCCUUCGAGCCCUACCUCUAGCGGGUGGCUCCGUUCUCGGGUCCGACCUGGAGCGGGUGGUCAAGCCCAAUGUCUCCUUCCUGCUCGAGUGCGGGCUAGGUGCUUGCGAUAUUGCCAAGCUCUACGCAUAUACUCCGUCACCGCUCAGCAUCAGCACGGAACGCAUCCGGACAGCAGUGGCAUGCGUCGAUAGUCUUGGUGUACACCGUGGAUCUCCGAUGUUCAGACAUGCACUACAAGCUGUUGCAUUCCUCAGCGAGGAGAAAAUCACCGCCAAAGUGGAGCACUUGAAGAAAGCGUUCAGGUGGUCGGAUGCCGAGGUGGGCAUUGCCGUUUCUAAGGCUCCAACGGUGCUGACGAGGUCCGAGGACUUGCUGCAGAGCAAAUCGGUUUUCCUUAUCUCCGAGGUGGGACUGGAACCAGCAUACAUUGCUCACCGACCGAUAAUGCUCACUUACAGUCUAGAGGGCCGGCUCAGGCCCCGGUACUACGUCGUCAGAUUUCUCAAGGAAAAUGGAUUGCUAGAUCACGACCGGGACUACUAUGCUGCAGUCAUGAUCAGCGAGAAGGUAUUCGUCGAGAAGUUCAUAUGCCCUCAUAAGGAUGCUGCACCGCAUCUCGCUGAAGAUUAUGCAACAGCUUGCAGAGGGGAGGUUCCAGCUAGAUGA
rnacentral:rRNA from 1 species